rnacentral:rRNA from 1 species
GGAUUAGAUACCCUGGUAGUCCACGCCGUAAACGAUGAGAACUAGAUGUCGGGAGGAUUUACCUUUCGGUGUCGCAGCUAACGCGUUAAGUUCUCCGCCUGGGGAGUACGGUGGCAACACUAAAACUCAAAGGAAUUGACGGGGACCCGCACAAGCGGUGGAGCAUGUGGUUUAAUUCGAUGCAACGCGAAGAACCUUACCUGCCCUUGACAUCCUCGGAACUUGUCAGAGAUGACUUGGUGCCUUCGGGAACCGAGUGACAGGUGCUGCAUGGCUGUCGUCAGCUCGUGCCG